rnacentral:rRNA from 1 species
AACGAACGCUGGCGGCAGGCUUAACACAUGCAAGUCGAGCGCCCCGCAAGGGGAGCGGCAGACGGGUGAGUAACGCGUGGGAACGUACCCUUUGCUACGGAAUAGCUCCGGGAAACUGGAAUUAAUACCGUAUGUGCCCUACGGGGGAAAGAUUUAUCGGCAAAGGAUCGGCCCGCGUUGGAUUAGCUAGUUGGUGGGGUAAUGGCCUACCAAGGCGACGAUCCAUAGCUGGUCUGAGAGGAUGAUCAGCCACAUUGGGACUGAGACACGGCCCAAACUCCUACGGGAGGCAGCAGUGGGGAAUAUUGGACAAUGGGCGAAAGCCUGAUCCAGCCAUGCCGCGUGAGUGAUGAAGGCCUUAGGGUUGUAAAGCUCUUUCAGUGGGGAAGAUAAUGACGGUACCCACAGAAGAAGCCCCGGCUAACUUCGUGCCAGCAGCCGCCGUAAAAC